GAACGCUGGCGGCAGGCCUAACACAUGCAAGUCGAGCGGCAGCACAGAGGAACUUGUUCCUUGGGUGGCGAGCGGCGGACGGGUGAGUAAUGCCUGGGAAAUUGCCCUGAUGUGGGGGAUAACCAUUGGAAACGAUGGCUAAUACCGCAUGAUGCCUACGGGCCAAAGAGGGGGACCUUCGGGCCUCUCGCGUCAGGAUAUGCCCAGGUGGGAUUAGCUAGUUGGUGAGGUAAUGGCUCACCAAGGCGACGAUCCCUAGCUGGUCUGAGAGGAUGAUCAGCCACACUGGAACUGAGACACGGUCCAGACUCCUACGGGAGGCAGCAGUGGGGAAUAUUGCACAAUGGGCGCAAGCCUGAUGCAGCCAUGCCGCGUGUAUGAAGAAGGCCUUCGGGUUGUAAAGUACUUUCAGUCGUGAGGAAGGUUGUAGUGUGAAUAGCACUAUGAUUUGACGUUAGCGACAGAAGAAGCACCGGCUAACUCCGUGCCAGCAGCCGCGGUAAUACGGAGGGUGCGAGCGUUAAUCGGAAUUACUGGGCGUAAAGCGCAUGCAGGUGGUUUGUUAAGUCAGAUGUGAAAGCCCUGGGCUCAACCUAGGAGUUGCAUUUGAAACUGACAAGCUAGAGUACUGUAGAGGGGGG
rnacentral:rRNA from 1 species